ACUGACCCCUAUUCAGGCGUUACAGACGUGGAGAAACUCAGAAAAUUCCACGUGGCCAGCCCGUCCUGGCGAAGCUCGAACCAACACCGAACUCCCAGUGUUCGGAAUCGCUUGGCCACUGAUGGACCUCAAGUGAGUAUGAGGGGGCUAUCCGCUUAGGAUUCUGCAUUGUGUGAUGGUCGCUGAACUUAGUUAAAGUAACUGCAAUUAUCCCCGUGGAUCUUUAGUUUGUCGAGGUACGGGAGAGGUCCAUCCCACCUAAUAUUUAUAUUUAAAAAGGAAACUGUCUAGGAAGUCCGUGUUAGCUUUUCUUAUUAAUGGAAAAUUUAUCUUAUUAUUUCUAGGAUUAAAUAUAAAAUUUUAAAUUUCUGAUUAGAUAAUUUUACUAUAAUAUUAUUGCAGCUCCUUCUUGUUUGUGCAGCUAUACUUCUGGCUAUGCUAGGAUUACAUAUUGUUUGUUUUUUUGUGGUUAUAACAUAUUACCGAUCGUUGGAAGUGCCUCAACGAACUGAAGAAGAUAUGGAAAAGUUGUGAAUUUGUAACUUUACAGUAACAUUAAAAAGUUUUUUAUUAAUUAACACUA